rnacentral:rRNA from 1 species
UAAGGAAUAUUGCUCAAUGGGAGAAAUCCUGAAGCAGCAACGCCGCGUGGAGGAUGAAGGGUCUAUGACUUGUAAACUCCUGUAAGGAAGGAAAAAAUUCCCAUUAGAUGGGAGAUGAUGGUACUUCUGGAGUAAGCCCCGGCUAACUACGUGCCAGCAGCCGCGGUAAUACGUAGGGGGCAAGCGUUGUCCGGAUUUACUGGGUGUAAAGGGUGCUCAGGCGGAUUUGUAAGUCAGAGGUGAAAUCUCACAGCUUAACUGUGAAACUGCCUUUGAUACUGCAAGUCUAGAGUAUGGAAGAGAGUGAUGGAAUGUCUGGUGUAGCAGUGAAAUGCGUAGAUAUCAGAUAGAACACCAAUGGCGAAGGCAGUCACUUGGUCCAUUACUGACGCUAAAGCACGAAAGCGUGGGUAGCAAACA